UACGGGGGGGGCAAGCGUUGUUCGGAAUUACUGGGCGUAAAGGGCGCGUAGGCGGCCUGCUAAGUCGAACGUGAAAUCCCCGAGCUCAACUCGGGAACUGCGUCCGAUACUGGCAGGCUUGAAUCCGGGAGAGGGAUGCGGAAUUCCAGGUGUAGCGGUGAAAUGCGUAGAUAUCUGGAGGAACACCGGUGGCGAAGGCGGCAUCCUGGACCGGCAUUGACGCUGAGGCGCGAAAGCCAGGGGAGCAAACGGG
rnacentral:rRNA from 1 species